rnacentral:lncRNA from 1 species
UUUUUUUUUAAUCGUUUCUUUUUAAGGAUAGAUUCAAAUUGACAGAAAAGUUGCAAAGAUAGUGCAGAGUCUUGUUUUCCCUAUUGUGACAUCUUCCGUUGUCAUGGUACAUUUGUUGCAGCCAGAAACCAAUGCUGGUGCAUUACUGAACAUCCUGACUGAGGUCCACCUUAACCGGACUCCAUGCUUUAUUUGGAUUUUGCUAGUUUUUCCCAAUGUCCUUUUUCUGUUCCAGGACCCCGUCUAGAACAUCUCACUGCACUGCAUCAUCGUGUGUCCUCAGGCUCCUCCUGGACCUGAGGGUUUCUCAGGCUUUCUUUGUUUUUGAUGACUUUGGCAGUUUGAGGAGGACAGUAGUGCGGUAUUUCUUAUAUUGAGAUGUCAUCUGCAUCAUGUGGACUAAACAAAGGGGACAUUUUGAUCCAGAAUAUUUAUCUCACCUGAGGAUGCUACAGAUUUCCUGGCAGUUAUGUUUAAGAUUCAAGAUUCUUUCUACUAGUUCUUCAGGGUAAACGCAGCCUUAAUUUCUGAAAUUGAAUAUUCAUGGAGAAUCUACUAUGUAUAACAUAUUUUGUGAUAAACUAAUGAUCAAGACGUAGCCUUUGCCCUAAGGAGGUAAACCACGGACAUGGAUAACAAUUUCAGAAAGUCAAAAGCUACAAGUGACAUAGAAUAGUUUACAGAAAAGUCAACAAGAGGCCGUACAAAGAUGAGACAAUUUCCAACUGGAAAGAUCUGGAAAGGUAUGUAGGAGGAGGGUGCCAACUGAGCUUGAAAAAUUUGGAGAUGCUGUUGCUGCUGGGUGUCAGCUCCUACCUGGAUUCGAACGUCAGGCAAUGAGACCACCACACUCGCUGGAAUUUUGGUGCACACGUGAGGUACAAGGAGAGGCUUAAUUAGAUUGCACCCUCCUAGGACUCCGUGUCCGCGGGGCACUGGCCAGAUGCUCCCCGGGCAGCUCUUUCCAGGGAGGGACCUGCUCCGUUGGAGACGUGAUGGAUUUACAGGGACCAGCCAACUGCCUUCCGCUAUGUCUGCUUGAGGACGACGAAUUUACACUGACCUUGUGGCCGCAGGCUCGGUGGGCAAAGGAGGACCAGCAGCCCUCCGUGGUGUCCCGAGGCUGUGAGUGUGUCCCACUGGAGCACCUCCUGGUCCCUCCGUAUUUCAAGGCUUUCGAGGCCCCUGGCACACAGGGGUGCUCAGGAAUAUUUGAUUUCUUUUAGAAUGACCUCAGAGCAGAGUGUUGAAAUGAAGACCGAGUGAAAUCUCGCCAACCUGCUCUGUCCCUUCGGGCUCCGGGCGGCCUCCUGCCUGUCCCUGAGGAGCUGGCAGAGUGGCCUCCCGGGCUCCCAGGGACCGGGAGCCGCCGGUGCUCGUGCUGAGGGUGGGCCCGGCUGGCCCUGACUGUGCAUCGCUUCUCUAGUGGUGCCGCUUGUGGCUGAUCACACGUUAGCUGAGUGCCCCAGUGACAGAGCUGCUCUGCACUCUGUCGCCAUCGAUCUCCCGUCACUCAUUAGUAAGUGACCGUGCUAGACAUGGCCCUUGGGCAUUUUUCCAAUGCAAAGCCACUUAGCAUUAAAAUUGCAGCAUCUCUUUUGGCUUUUUCACAAGUCUUUAUCAAACCCAUUUAAAAACUUACCGUGAACGUGACCCACUCUCCAGAUAGCCUCUGACUGUCUUGACCUUUGACCUCUAUAAGACAACAGGAACAACUGUGCCAUUUAACAUCAUUUUUUUUUCUAUAGUAGCUCCAGAUUUUUCGCCAUGAGAUGGGAGGAGAUGUGCCAAGAGACCUCUGCCCGCCAUGGUCAACACGUCCGCGGGAGGCCUCGCCAGGCCCACGUCCCAGACACUUUCUGUGCUUUAAAGAACUUUUUUUAUUUGAGUCUCAUAAAUGCAUCAGUUACGGAGACACUGAACGUUUCUUUGGGAGGACAUGCACAUCCCUUAAUGCGAACAGUCUAGCAUAAAUACAAAGGUCAACUCAUUGUGAUUGAUCACUUCAGAAUAAAGUGCCUGUCCCUAAGAGAGGAAGGGAGGGUGACAGGAAGAUACCAGAGCACGAGGGAUCUGGGGCUCAUUUAUUUGUCCCCAGCUGCAGCCGCGGACUUCCGGCUAUUCCCGCCACGUCAUGAGGUACACUCGUUGCUCAUUGGCAGGGAGCCACCCUGAAUCAGGAGAAGUUUCAAUCCUGGGGUGACAUGAGCACAUUCCAUUUUGAAUAAGCCCUACAUGAAGGCAGACUGGGGGCCUGGAUUUCCUGUGCCUGGGCCACCUAGAUGACAAGAUGCGAAGCUGGCUGUGAAUGUGUCAUUCUGUUCUUGUUUACAUCGACUUGAGAAGAGAAAGAAGAAAGCCUUGAAAUCCAGCUGAGUCUUGUGUGGUACUUCAAGGAGGAAAAUUGCAAUUUCUGUAAUCACAGAAUAAAUCCUCAUUUAACGUUUUCU